GAUCAUGGCUACAGAACGAACGCUGGCGGCAGGCUUAACACAUGCAAGUCGAACGGUUGUAGCAAUACAGCAGUGGCAGACGGGUGAGUAACACGUGGGAACCUUCCUAGGGGUACGGAACAACUCAGGGAAACUUGAGCUAAUACCGUAUACGUCCGUGAGGAGAAAGAUUUAUCGCCUAGAGAUUAGCCCGCGUCUGAUUAGCUAGUUGGUGAGGUAAAGGCUCACCAAGGCGACGAUCAGUAGCUGGUCUGAGAGGAUGAUCAGCCACACUGGAACUGAGACACGGUCCAGACUCCUACGGGAGGCAGCAGUAAGGAAUAUUGGACAAUGGGGGAAACCCUGAUCCAGCCAUGCCGCGUGAGUGACGAAGGCCUUAGGGUUGUAAAGCUCUUUUGGCGGGGAAGAUAAUGACUGUACCCGCAGAAUAAGCCCCGGCUAAAUUCGUG
rnacentral:rRNA from 1 species